rnacentral:lncRNA from 1 species
GGAACCCAUUGUGAUUCAAUAAGUAGAACGACCUCUUGUGCCACUCUUCGACUUGACUCCUCAAUUUUGUGUAUUACAUCCAUUGUAUUGACAUUCUAAAUCAAAAAAAUUUAUUCUCUCUGUGGAGACACUAGCACUGGUACAAGACUUUCUUCUACUGGCAUUGUUUGACGCAAUGUGUGCAUGAUCACAACAUACACAUAAUUAGAACAAAGCAAAUAAGUAAAUUUUUCUAAUUUCCACUUGGCUCCUAUCUCCGCAUGAAUACAAGUGGCUACGUAUGCUACCUAGUU